CUUGGGAAAAGUACAGCCAGAAUGCUCCUUGGAAGCGAGGAUGGUCUCUUGCCUGCUGUGUACUGCUUUUACUGACAGAACGUUCUCCUCACCUGGGAGCCAGUUGGCUGACAACACAGAUGCCAUCACCGAAGCCAUAUACGGCUGGAGAACUACCCAGCUCCUUAACCUGCACACCUGUGGAGCACUAAAAAGUGGUAUUUGUUGAAGAAUUACCUAGAAAUUACACCUUUGCCCCUCUCUGCGACAUGCCAGCGAGUACUUCAGUAUCCUUUUUAGGGAGCGUGUGUUUUCUUUGAACAUUUGUUGUUACAAAUAUUUUGAAAUAGUUUUUCAUUAUUGAUACAACCCCUGCUUUUUUAAAAGUCCAGUGGGAAAAGCAGUGGACUGCAAGUCACUUAACUAUAGGAGCAUCAGCUCGGGGAUGGCAAAUAUCUGGCUCUGUGCCACGGCACCCUCAUGAUGUGUCUCUCAGGAGCCUGUGUCAGACAUUCUAAAUUGAUCACAGCACCUUUCCCCCCUUCUCUGGGAACACCACGGAAACCUGGAGUGCCUCUCAAUGCAUUACUCCAGGAAGUCAUUAUCAAGCGGUAGAGAUCAGCAUGAAGAUUUAAAUCUAUUUGCCCCCUCCAAAAUAAGUGGUCUCUAAAGCCCUUCCCACACUAAAAUUCUGUGAACCACCUUGCCAGCAGCCACAUUAGACUGAUAACAGCUAGGGAGGGUAAGUGUUACCAUCCAAAGAUGCUAAACUCUGGAAAGCAGAUAACAAGGGGAAAAUACUUUAAAGGCUGAUGGUUAGGGGAGGAUUUGGAGAUUGUGACUCAGUGGGUUCGUAAAUUGGUUGGUAUGGGCUUUACGUUAACUUUACUCAAAGAAUUUGGUCUUUGUUCUUGAUUCCUAAGAGAUAAAUUCUGAAACCUUGGAAUUU